UGGGUGAUCUGCCCUGCACUUUGGGAUAAGCCUGGGAAACUGGGUCUAAUACCGAAUACACCCUUCUGAUCGCAUGGUUGGUGGGGGAAAGCUUUUGCGGUGUGGGAUGGGCCCGCGGCCUAUCAGCUUGUUGGUGGGGUGAUGGCCUACCAAGGCGACGACGGGUAGCCGGCCUGAGAGGGCGUCCGGCCACACUGGGGCUGAGACGCGGCCCAGACUCCUACGGGAGGCA
rnacentral:rRNA from 1 species